rnacentral:snRNA from 1 species
GUGUUUGAUUCAGCAGCACAAAUAGAAUGAUACAGAGACUAGCAUAGCCCCUGAGCAAGGAAGACAUGCAAAAUCCUGCUCACUUUU